GAUACGGUGAACAUCGACGGUUCCCGCAAGGGAUCAAUAGGGAAUGCGGUGAGGAUUCUCGCGAAUCCAAUUCCGCGGCUGCCCCCGCAACUGUAAGCGGCGAGCCUUUCGCCAAGCGCCACUGGGCUUCGAGCCUGGGAAGGCGGCGAAAGGCAGCGACCCGCGAGCCAGGAGACCUGCCGUCGUCGUGGUCACACGC
rnacentral:ncRNA from 18 species